UGGGGAAUUUUGGACAAUGGGCGCAAGCCUGAUCCAGCCAUGCCGCGUGUCUGAAGAAGGCCUUCGGGUUGUAAAGGACUUUUGUCAGGGAAGAAAAGGAUAGGGUUAAUACCCCUGUCUGAUGACGGUACCUGAAGAAUAAGCACCGGCUAACUACGUGCCAGCAGCCGCGGUAAUACGUAGGGUGCGAGCGUUAAUCGGAAUUACUGGGCGUAAAGCGGGCGCAGACGGUUACUUAAGCAGGAUGUGAAAUCCCCGGGCUCAACCUGGGAACUGCGUUCUGAACUGGGUGACUAGAGUGUGUCAGAGGGAGGUAGAAUUCCACGUGUAGCAGUGAAAUGCGUAGAGAUGUGGAGGAAUACCGAUGGCGAAGGCAGCCUCCUGGGAUAACACUGACGUUCAUGCCCGAAAGCGUGGGUAGCAAACAGGAUUAGAUACCCUGGUAGUCCACGCCCUAAACGAUGUCGAUUAGCUGUUGGGCAGCUUGACUGCUUAGUAGCGAAGCUAACGCGUGAAAUCGACCGCCUGGGGGAGUACGGUCGCAAGAUUA
rnacentral:rRNA from 1 species